UGACAUUUGUUAGAGACUUGUACAGCCUUGCUAUUUCAAUUCCAUGUUCCUAAAAGAUUUUGGGGGAAUCCCUUCUCACUGCCACAUACUUGAUUAAUGGAUUUCUUUCUAGGGUGCUUAAACAUAAGUCUCCAUAUCAAAAUAUUUUGCCACUCAACCUAAUUAUUCUUAUUUGAAGCCCUUUGGUUGUCCAUGUUUCGCUUCUACUCUAAAUAGAGGGAGAGACAAGCUUGAUCCUAGAGCUUUUCUGGGGUCUUUUUGAGUUAUCCCUUUGACAAGAAAGGAUGUAAGGUUUUGAACCUUCAAACUAAUCAAAUUUCCAUUUCCAUGGAUGUCAAAUUUGUUUGAGUCUAUUUUUCCGUUUUCCUCUACUUCUCCCUUGCCUAAAUUGUUUCCAGUUAAUACAUCUCCCAUUUCCCAUGACCUUGUUCUUUAGUUUCCUCACUUUGAUUUCCUCAUCCUUUUAUUCUCACUUCUAAUGCCACAACACCUGCUCCAGCACCAUCCUCUACCCCUUUUCUCCUAUUCUAUCUUCUUCUGCCCCUUCUCCCUCUCUUCCAAUCUCACAUAUUUCUCCACCCGCAGUGUUAUCUUAAGCUUCAGCACCAACUUUGCGCAGAACUGAAAGGGUAUGCAACCAAUCUGAGUACUGAGCAGAUUAUAUUUGUCAUACUGCAUAUAUUGUUCUCCAAACCCACCUCUUUUUCCUUUACAUUCUUUUUCUUUUUCUGCCUUGACACCAGCUAACCAAAACCUAUCUACUUUAAUAUGCCAAAUUCGUGAGCCAUAUUCUUACCAGCAGGCAACCCUGUAUCCUAGCUGGACUUCUGCCACGACGAAGGAAUAUGAUGUUUUAGCCUCCAACCAUACUUGGGAUGUGAUCACUUUGCCAGAGGAAAAAAGGUGUUGUUGCCUUGCAAAUGGGUACAAAGUUAAGAUUAAAUCAGAUGGAUCUCUUGAGCAUUUGAAAGCUCGAUUAGUUAUCCGGGGGGGCACUCAAAGAGAAGGGAUAGAUUAUACCCAAAUAUUAUCUCAUGGCAAAAAUGAAUAGCAUCCGCUGCCUUCUUAGUAUUGCAGUUAAAAAAGAGUGGAUCUUGCAUCAGUUUGAUGUUCACGAUGCCUUUCUCCAUGGCGACUUGGAUGAAAAGGAUUAUACUCAUUUUCCUUUUGGUCUUACUGCCCCUUCUUCUUCUUAUGUUUUCCAGCUAUGAAAAAUCUUUGUUUGGGCUUAAACAAGCCUCUCGACAGUGGUGGUGUGGUUGUUACCCAGAGGAAAUUUGCACUCAAGCUUCUCUCUGAGCUUGAUUGUGAGGAUGCUCAAUCUAUUUCGACUCCCUUGGAUCCAACUAUGAAGCUCACUUCAGAUUUUGGUACUCCUCUAGCUGAUCCGACCAUUUAUCGUCGCCUCAUUGGAAAGCUCAAUUUUUUAACCAAUAUGCGACCUGAUCUUUCCUUCACUGUUCAUACUUUGAGUCAGUAUAUGCAAUCUCUAUGUGAGCGCUAUUAUUAGGCUGCUCUUCGUACCUUGUGAUACCUCAGUCGCGACGCCUAGUCGCCGAGAUCACCUGGGUGGUGUGUCUUCUUCAUGAUUUUCCUUAUUGCCUUCACUACCUGUUUUGUUUAACUGGGAUAGUGAUGUGAUUCUUCGAGUUAACAAAGAA